AUAGAAAUAUAAAUUAAUAUAAUUUUAAAAAAUAAAUAUUUAUUUAAAAUUCUUUUUGUAUUAAGAUUUAAUUUAAAUAAAAAAAUAAAUUUUAAAUAUUAUAAUUAAUUUAAAUUAAAAAUUUAUAAAAUUUAAUAUAAAAUAAUUAUUUUAAAUUUAUUUUUAGAGAAGAAAUUUUAUUCAAAAAUUAAUAAAUAAUUUUAUAUUAAAUUAAUUUAAUUAAUAAUAUAAAUAAUAAUUUUAUAUUAAUAAUUUAUAAAGAUAAUUUUAUAAAUAAAAUAAAUUAAAUUUAAUAAAAUUAAUAUAUAUUAUAAUUAAAAAUUUUAAUAAAAAAUUUAUUUAUAAUUUAAUAUUAAAUUUAAUAAAUAAAAUAAAGAAAAUUAUUUAUAAUAGUUAAUAUAAUAAUUAAAUAAAUAAUAUAAUUUAUUGUAAUAAUAUUUAAAUUAGUAAUUUAAUAAAUUUAAUUAAUGAACUUGACAAAUUAAUUUUUAUAUGUUUAUUAAAAACAUAGUUUAAAGAUAAUAAUUUUAAAUAAAUUCUGCUCAAUGAAAAAUAAAUAAUUUUUAAUAGCUGCAGUAUUUUAACUGUACAAAGGUAGCAUAAUAAUUUGUAUUUUUAUUGAAUAAUUGAAUGAAUGAAUAAAUAAAAAAUUUAUUUUAUUAAUUUAAAUAAAAUGAAUUUAAUUUUUUAGUUAAGAAGCUAUAAUAAUAUUAAAAGACAAAAAGACCCUAAAAAUUUUAUAUUAAAUUUUAUUAAUUAAAUAUUUAUUUGGGGUAAAUUUAAUAGAUUAAUUUAUUAAAUUAUAUAGAUAAAUAAUUUUAAUUUAUUAAAAUUACUUUAGGGAUAACAGGAUUAUUUAUUUUAAUAGAUUAAAUUAAAAAAUUAGAUUAUUACCUCGAUGUUGAAUUAAUUUAACUAAUUAAAAUAGGAAUUAAUUUAAGUAAGUUUGUUCAACUUUUAAUUAAUUACAUGAUUUGAGUUAAGAUCGAUGUAAAUUAGAUUGGUUUUUAUCUUUAAUUAAUAAAUAAAAUUUAGUACGAAAGGAUUAAUUUAAUUUUUUAAAUAU
rnacentral:rRNA from 1 species